UGUCACUUUGCUCUCAUUCACAGAGACAAUCACUCUCUGGACAAAGACCCACGGCGGACACACACACUGAAGACACACAUUCAUUAACUGAGAAGAGAUCCUGAGAGGGACCCACAGCAUCCUGCCCAGAAAGAGAGACUGAUUCCUGGGUAGAGAGACGAGCUCCAGGCACUUCCUAUCCUGAGAGGGACCCACAGCACCAUAGCAUCCUGCCCAGAGAGAGAGACUGAUUCCUGGGUAGAGAGAGGAGCUCCAGACCCUUCCUAUCCUGAGAGGGACCCACAGCACCAUAGCAUCCUGCCCAGAGAGAGAGAGACUGAUUCCUGGGUAGAGAGAGGAGCUCCAGACCCUUCCUAUCCUGAGAGGGACCCACAGCACCAUAGCAUCCUUCCCAGAGAGAGAGACUGAUUCCUGGGUAGAGAGAGGAGCUCCAGACCCUUCCUAUCCUGAGAGGGACCCACAGCACCAUAGCAUCCUUCCCAGAGAGAGAGAGACUGAUUCCUGGGUAGAGAGAGGAGCUCCAGACCCUUCCUAUCCAGCCAUGAGGAUCAUCAGCCUACUGUACCUGCUGCUGCUAGUAACUGUUCUAGGAUCCGUUUCUGCAGUGAGACCAGACAUCUUGAACAUACGGAGAAGGUACCACAGACACCACUGCCCCCACCGACGCUGCAUGCCCCUGCACUCCAGAGGACCAUUCCCCUGAGGUGUAACAGAGUGAACAUGGAGGUAAAAGAGAAGAGGAGAAUCUCUGUGACAUCCUCACCCCUCCUC